rnacentral:rRNA from 1 species
GACGUAGGGGGCAAGCGUUAUUCGGAAUUAUUGGGCGUAAAGAGCUCGUAGGCGGUUUGUCGCGUCUGCCGUGAAAGUCCGGGGCUCAACUCCGGAUCUGCGGUGGGUACGGGCAGACUAGAAUGAUGUAGGGGAGACUGGAAUUCCUGGUGUAGCGGUGAAAUGCGCAGAUAUCAGGAGGAACACCGGUGGCGAAGGCGGGUCUCUGGGCCGUAACUGACGCUGAGGAGCGAAAGCGUGGGGAGCGAACAGG